UACGGAGGAUGCGAGCGUUAUCCGGAUUUAUUGGGUUUAAAGGGUGCGCAGGCGGCACGGCAAGCCGGCGGUCAAAUCGCGGGGCUCAACCCCGCCCAGCCGUCGGAACUGCCGGGCUAGAGUGGGCGAGAAGUGCGCGGAAUGCGUGGUGUAGCGGUGAAAUGCAUAGAUAUCACGCAGAACUCCGAUUGCGAGGGCAGCGCACCGGCGCCCUACUGACGCUCAGGCACGAAAGCGUGGUUAUCGAACAGG
rnacentral:rRNA from 1 species